CAUUUCUAUGACGUGUCGCUGGAUGAAGACGAUGAGCGACUAUUACCUAGUCUUGCACGUCGAAACCCAAUGUGUAACCAUACCAAACUGUGGCCUCGGCGUGGUCACGCCCCGGGUGCGUUGCAGCCCCGGAACCAGGCGCCCGCCGGAGGGACCAACCAAACUCUUUUCUGUAGUCCCCUCGCGGACGUUAUUUCUUACAGCUCUGAGCAAAAAUUCAAAAUGAAUCAAAACUUUCAACAACGGAUCUCUUGGUUCUGGCAUCGAUGAAGAACGCAGCGAAAUGCGAUAAGUAAUGUGAAUUGCAGGAUUCAGUGAAUCAUCGAAUCUUUGAACGCACAUUGCGCCCGCCAGUAUUCUGGCGGGCAUGCCUGUCCGAGCGUCAUUUCAACCCUCGAACCCCUCCGGGGGGUCGGCGUUGGGGACCUCGGGAGCCCCUAAGACGGGAUCCCGGCCCCGAAAUACAGUGGCGGUCUCGCCGCAGCCUCUCCUGCGCAGUAGUUUGCACAACUCGCACCGGGAGCGCGGCGCGUCCACGUCCGUAAAACACCCAACUUCUGAAAUGUUGACCUCGGAUCAGGUAGGAAUACCCGCUGAACUUAAGCAUAUCAAUAAGCGGAGGA
rnacentral:rRNA from 1 species